GUGGGGAAUUUUGGACAAUGGGCGCAAGCCUGAUCCAGCAAUGCCGCGUGCAGGAAGAAGGCCUUCGGGUUGUAAACUGCUUUUGUACGGAACGAAACGGUCCGGGUUAAUACCCUGGGCUAAUGACGGUACCGUAAGAAUAAGCACCGGCUAACUACGUGCCAGCAGCCGCGGUAAUACGUAGGGUGCAAGCGUUAAUCGGAAUUACUGGGCGUAAAGCGUGCGCAGGCGGUUUUGUAAGACAGGCGUGAAAUCCCCGGGCGCAACCUGGGAAUUGCGCUUGUGACUACAAGGCUGGAGUGCGGCAGAGGGGGAUGGAAUUCCGCGUGUAGCAGUGAAAUGCGUAGAUAUGCGGAGGAACACCGAUGGCGAAGGCAAUCCCCUGGGCCUGCACUGACGCUCAUGCACGAAAGCGUGGGGAGCAAACAGGAUUAGAAACCCUGGUAGUCC
rnacentral:rRNA from 1 species